UCCGUAGUCAUUUGAAGUGCAAGGCCCAGACAGGAUUCAUUCGCCAUCGUCGGCGUCAAGACGUCCUCGUGUGAAAGACAACGCUUUUGUGUGUGUGUGUGUGUUUCUCCACAUAGAAAACUACAACAGUGAAACGUGUACAGGUAGGGGAGUUAGAGUACGCUGACAAGCAAGAAGAAUGUUUGAUGAAUAUGGUAAGUGGCUGCUUCUUACUGCGUGUGUUUUGUGUGUGCGCUUUUUCCUUCAUCACUUCGUCUUUCUUUCUUGCAGACGACAAGACUGCGCUCCAGGAUGAAAUGUACGUUUUAAUAGAAGAAUGCAACAGGAAUUUGCUUGCGCUUCCUGAGAAGGCGUUUGUGUGUGUGUUGUGUCGUGCGUUCUGUGUUCCAUGCCAUGUCGUCCAUCGAUAGGAACCAACUCGAUCGCAUCAGCGCUCUCUUGGAUUACCACAAGACAAGCCCUCUCCUUCCAAAACGAAGUCACUCAGGCACACAGCGUAGGACGGGAGGAAUGGAAGGCGUCGCCCCCGGCUCUAAUGAAAUCUAUUGGGACCAAAUUGAAAUGCAAACGAAACCAUGGAAAUAAAAUUGUCGAUUGAAUCUUA